UGGCCUUCCUUUCAUUGUCAAAGAUAAAAGUGAUAGUCACAUAGAGGUAUCUGUUGCUGUUGACAUUGGGACCUGAAUUGUUAAGGUGGAUGACAAUGGAUCUGGUGUCUCACGAGAUGGACAGAUGCUGAGGAGAGAAUGAUAUGUUUUACUUGUAAUUGGGCAAACUGGCAUGGCCGGUAUAGGGGACUGGAUCCGUGGGAUGUUUAUAGUUCAGGUCCUUCUGAAUUCUAUUAUGAUAGAUAUGAUUUGACACAUAUGCUUUCUCAUGAUGAAGAGAAUCUUAAAAUUAUUUGCCACCACGAGCUAUGCUCUCUUCUAGGGUGGAUGGGGACUCGCACAAAUGGAUUGAUGCUGGAAAUCGAGGUAAAAUAGAUGAGCUUAUAAGGAAGAAGAAAGAGUAGAAGAAGCCAUUCAGCUCCUCCAUUUUACCAAGACAAGAAGAAGUUCUUUGCCACAAGUGAGUCUUCAAGAACGGCAGCAGGAAAUAACAAUAUUUAAAUUGUUCAUGAUGUGCUUAUAUGCCAGAAUCUAGAGCUGCAAGGGGACUACAUCAUUCUACAGAAGCUAUCUGCUGGGAGCUUCCACUCACUCAUUCCAUCAAUGUGCUCAAUCUUCCACCCGAAAUGUGGUAAGGGUGUGUUCUCUAAUGAAAGGCCAAGUGUUAAAUUGAAAUUUGUUAACAUCUGGAAUAGAAUAUUACAAAUUCAAGUGGAUUGCACAAGUACACGCGAUGGGGAGUUAAAAGAAGGUAAACUGUUGAUAAGAGCUGAAUUUUCUUGUGCAUGUUUUAGUUAAUGAGCUUCAUUUCUUUCAUCCACUUUCCAAAAUUAUCUUAGAUUGCAUUCUUAUUAAUCAUUAAAGCAUUUCAGAUUAUGUCUCUUUCUAAGUCUCUUAGGCCACAGAGUCUCUUUCAAAUUAUAUCUUGCUUAUGUUUAUUCAAAGUUCCUUAGAUUCUGGGACAAAAUGGAGGGACUUCCGUCCAAAGACUACAGUUGAGUACCUUGACUAUAUGGACAAGAUGAUAGAACCUUUACCUUUUGGAGAAUGUCCGACACUGGGUCGGGCUUUGGUGAACCAACGGGCCGCUCCUCGAGUAUGAGAUGCAGAGUGGUUCUGGAACAGAGAAUCCUAAGAAUCUGGAUACUAUACUCAAUGUCACUUCUGGUGUCUUGCAUUUUGUUGGCGAUUCAUUGGUUACUGAUACAAUUGAUAAAAACUGUCUGGAGGGUGCCAAAGUUCCCCCAACAGGUUGAUAAGAAGUUUAUUCUGAUUGUGGGAACACAACACUUAUGACUGAUAAUGUCUAUAUGGCCUUUGCAUAGUCCAU